AUGCUCACUUCAGCAGCACAUAUACUAAAAUUGGAACAACACAGAGAAAAUUAGCACGGUCCCUGUGCAAGGAUAGCAUGCAGACAGGACUAUUUUGUCUUUGUCUUU